rnacentral:lncRNA from 1 species
AGCACAGUAAAAUUUCUCUAAGCUCUGUACGUUAUCACACUAAUCCUCGCAUUAUCAACACCCCUGUGCCGUUUCUGGCAAGAGUUACUGCCCCUGUUUGAUGGAGAAGCUGAAUCACAGUGAAGAUUACUGACUUUGUCAAGGUCAAUGGUUCCAAAGGAAACCUCAAGUCCGGUAUAAGCAAAACAAUUCAUGAACAAAAUGGCUGUGAGCACAUUUCAUUUGCAAGACAGCACUAGAGGGCGCUCUUCAGCAGGUCUCAAGAUUAAGAAGCAAUAUCCUGAGAUACAUCUUUCUCUGAUAGAAAUUUUGUCUUGGGAAAAGCUUUGACCAGAUCGUAGUGACAGAAAUGAGAGGCUGGGCCAGUCUUUGGCGCCUGCCCUUGGCUCAGCGCCCGGUGCCAACAGAACACCUUUCAGGAUCCACAGCAACGCAGACAACGAGUCCAGGAUCCCGGCCUCUGCUUGGAACGGAACAGUGUCAUGGCGGAGACGACGGCCUUUGUCUUGCUGGGUGUGAAAGCAUCCGCUUUGCAGGCUCCACUGCGGCAGAAUCAAGUUUAAAGGAAAAAGUGAUUAAAGUCAGCUUUGUGCCUCUUUGGUGUGGAAGACCCCCAAACCCCAAGUAGCCGAGUCCCUGGGUCCGAGGAAGGGCUCAUAGUUGGAGCAGCCUAGGCUGUAAUCCUGGCACUUGCGCCUUCGGUUGCUGCUUGCUGUUCGCUCCUGGGGGUCUGGAUAAUCUCCCUUGGCUUUACCGCACUGUCUGGCCCGCAUACAGGGCCCCCGUAACAUAUACCCGCUGCUGCUAUCGCACGAAACUGUGGCGUUGCCCCUGAAUGGAUGGCACUGUGCCAACUCUUCUGCCAUCCGCCCUUGCAGCUUUUUUCUUUCCUGCCUCCCUCCCCUUCUUCUCCUCCUCCUCCCGUCGACUUGACGUUAAUUAACACACGGGUUAAUUGAUUUUAAAAGCCGAAGAAUUACAGUUAACUUUUCCCACAGGGUACAGACGCCAGCCGCUUGGCACACUCUGCCUUUCGCACUGGUGCAGGGGGGCAGGGAGAGCCCGCAGCAAACCUAGCAACUGCUGAGGGAACGUUGCCUGCUUAUUGGAGUAGCGCCGAUAGAAGUCGACGUGGCACUGCCUCGUCCUUACCGUAUGGAGAGCCAUUCUAUAUUUUGUUAAAUAAUCAAAGCACAACCCUGUCUUUCUUCUUCUCCUUUCCUCGUUCAAAACAGGAAAACCCUUCAGAAGUUCUUAUGGGGAAAAAAUAUCCCUCCCCCAAACUAUUUAUCUCAUCCAUAAUAUGCUUUUUUUCCAAUAAGAAGAAAAUACGUGAUGCCUGUUUUUUUUUAAUUACAAGAAGGAAAGCUACUCUUUCCCUAAACAUCACAGGCAAAGAAGAUUUUUUUAAAGAAAAAGUUCCAUAAAGUUUCUUUCUCUAUAUCUCAGUAUUUUGUUUUGUUUCUAUUCCCC